UUUCGUAUUUUAAGCUUCUCUUUUACACUUGAUAUGGAUGUUGGGGAGUUCAUUGUUCUGUUCCAUACGUAAAGCAAGUAAAGGAAUUGGAGAGAAGAAGAGAAGAACAUGAAGAAUUGCUCUUGCCAGAAAGGGUAUGAGAGAAUAUGGGUGAUUAAGUCAAAUGGAGAAAGGGACAUCAUUUCCUUGUUGUGUGCAAGUGUUUUCUCCCUGAGACAUGCAAGGAAUCUGACAUCAAGAAUGGUUCAACUUAAAGAUGCUUCCUUGUACUCAUUCUCAUCCUGUUUAUAUUUUCCAAUGCUUUCUUCAAGUCGGAUACUAAGAAUUUCCUGUACUAUUCUUUCUGAUUGCUUAUAAAAUAGUUUGCUCAUUAGAACCUUCAUUUUCUCUUGUCUUUUAUUUAUUUGUAUAAAUCAUUUUUCUUUGUUUAGUGACACAA